rnacentral:rRNA from 1 species
GAUGAACGCUGGCGGCGUGCCUAAUACAUGCAAGUCGAGCGAACGGACGAGAAGCUUGCUUUUCUGAUGUUAGCGGCGGACGGGUGAGUCACACGUGGAUAACCUACCUAUAAGACUGGGAUAACUUCGGGAAACCGGAGCUAAUACCGGAUAAUAUUUUGAACCGCAUGGUUCAAAAGUGAAAGACGGUCUUGCUGUCACUUAUAGAUGGAUCCGCGCUGCAUUAGCUAGUUGGGAAGGUAACGGCUUACCAAGGCAACCAUGCAUAGCCGACCUGAGAGAGUGAUCGCCCACACUAGAACGUAAACGCGGUCCAGACUCCUACGAGAGGCAGCAGUAGGGAAUCUGCCGCAAUAGGCGAAAGCCUGACGGAGCAACGCCGCGUGAGUGAUGAAGGUCUUCGGAUCGUAAAACUCUGUUAUGAGGGAAGAACAUAUGUGUAAGUAACUGUGCACAUCUUGACGGUACCUAAUCAGAAAGCCACGGCUAACUACGUG